AAGCCCUUCGGGGUGAGUAGAGUGGCGAACGGGUGAGUAACACGUGGGCAACCUGCCCCUCGCAGGGGGAUAACCGGAGGAAACUCCGGCUAAUACCCCGUAAGCUUUCAAGGUCGCAUGGCCCUGAAAGGAAAGGUAGCUUCGGCCAUCCGGCGAGGGAUGGGCCCGCGGUGCAUUAGCUAGUUGGUGGGGUAAAGGCCUACCAAGGCGACGAUGCGUAGCUGGUCUGAGAGGAUGAUCAGCCACACUGGGACUGAGACACGGCCCAGACUCCUACGGGAGGCAGCAGCCAGGAAUCUUGGGCAAUGGGCGAAAGCCUGACCCAGCAACACCGUGUGGGCGAUGAAGGCCUUCGGGUCGUAAAGCCCUGUUGAUAGGGACGAAGGGCGAAGGGUUAAUAGCCCCUAGCCUGACGGUACCUUUCGAGGAAGCCCCGGCUAACUACGUGCCAGCAGCCGCGGUAAUACGUAGGGGGCGAGCGUUGUCCGGAAUUAUUGGGCGUAAAGAGCGUGUAGGCGGUUCGGUAAGUCUGCCGUGAAAACCUGAGGCUCAACCUCGGGCGUGCGGUGGAUACUGCCGGGCUAGAGGACGGUAGAGGCGAGUGGAAUUCCCGGUGUAGCGGUGAAAUGCGCAGAUAUCGGGAGGAACACCAGUAGCGAAGGCGGCUCGCUGGGCCGUUCCUGACGCUGAGACGCGAAAGCUAGGGGAGCGAACAGGAUUAGAUACCCUGAUAGUCCUAGCCGUAAACGAUGGACACUAGGUGUGGGGGGGAGUCGAAUCCCUCUGUGCCGCAGUUAACGCGUUAAGUGUC
rnacentral:rRNA from 1 species